rnacentral:sRNA from 1 species
AGAACCUACUGUGUGACUGUGGAGUUGGUAAAGGCCCUACUGAAUGAGCUGGCCUCCGUGAAGGUGAAUGAGGUGGUGCGGUACCAGGCGGGCUACGUGGUGUGCGCCGUGAUCGCGGGCCUCUACCUGCUGCUGGUGCCCACUGCCGGGCUUUGCUUCUGCUGCUGCCGCUGCCGCCGGCGCUGCGGGGGACGAGUUAAGACAGAGCACAAGGCGCUGGCCUGUGAGCGCACGG